CCCAAGUUAAACACAAACUGUUAAACUGAGCGGAGGAUGUGCGGAAUGUGUCGGUGUGUGUCGGAACCUGGCUGGCCGCUCGGCGCCUUCAGACAAAGCUCAAGCUAAGAGGCUAACAGCUUAUUAGCUAGCCAAACACCGAGCGGUAAUAUCUGCAAAUAUUGGAUCUGUGAGCACAUUAAUCUGCUCGGUGUGCGUCUUAUAACAAACAGAGCGAGCAGCCGCGGGACUUUAACAUCUGUUGAUCCGUGCAGGACUUCACUGUGAGCGGACUGUUUAGAGACAAAGUGACC